rnacentral:rRNA from 1 species
GGGGAAACCCUGUUCCAGCCAUCCCGCGUGUGCGAUGAAGGCCUUCGGGUUGUAAAGCACUUUUGGCAGGAAAGAAACGUCGCGGGCUAAUACCCCGUGGAACUGACGGUACCUGCAGAAUAAGCACCGGCUAACUCUGUGCCAGCAGCCGCGGUAAUACGGAGGGUGCAAGCGUUAAUCGGAAUUACUGGGCGUAAAGCGUGCGCAGGCGGUUGUGCAAGA